rnacentral:tRNA from 1 species
CAGGGUGUAGCUCAGCGAGCAGAGCACCUCGUUUGGGGCGAGGGGGCCGCCGGGGCGGAACCGGCCACCCUGACCA